UACGUAGGGGGGCAAGCGUUGUCCGGAAUCAUUGGGCGUAAAGCGCGUGUAGGCGGCCCGGUAAGUCCGCUGUGAAAGUCGGGGGCUCAACCCUCGAAUGCCGGUGGAUACUGUCGGGCUAGAGUGCGGAAGAGGCGAGUGGAAUUCCUGGUGUAGCGGUGAAAUGCGCAGAUAUCAGGAGGAACACCAAUUGCGAAGGCAGCUCGCUGGGACGUAACUGACGCUGAGACGCGAAAGCGUGGGGAGCAAACAGG
rnacentral:rRNA from 1 species